UACGUAGGGGCCAGCGUUGUCCGGAUUUAUUGGGCGUAAAGAGCGUGUAGGCGGCCAGGUAGGUCUGGUGUGAAAACUCGAGGCUCAACCUCGAGAUGUCAUCGGAAACCUCUGGCUAGAGUCCGGAAGAGGAGAGUGGAAUUCCUGGUGUAGCGGUGAAAUGCGCAGAUAUCAGGAAGAACACCUAUGGCGAAGGCAGCUCUCUGGGACGGUACUGACGCUGAGACGCGAAAGCGUGGGGAGCGAACAGG
rnacentral:rRNA from 1 species